UGGGGAAUAUUGGACAAUGGGCGCAAGCCUGAUCCAGCCAUGCCGCGUGAGUGAUGAAGGCCCUAGGGUUGUAAAGCUCUUUCGCCUGGGAACGAGAAGCCGGCUAAUAUCCGGCUAAUUUGAGUGUACCAGGAGAAGAAGCACCGGCUAACUCC
rnacentral:rRNA from 1 species